rnacentral:rRNA from 6 species
GGGUUGUGAGGUUAAGCGACUAAGCGUACACGGUGGAUGCCCUGGCAGUCAGAGGCGAUGAAGGGCGUGCUAAUCUGCGAUAAGCGCCGGUAAGGUGAUAUGAACCGUUAUAACCGGCGAUACCCGAAUGGGGAAACCCAG